UACAGAGGGGGCAAGCGUUGUUCGGAAUUACUGGGCGUAAAGGGCGCGUAGGCGGCCUUCUAAGUCGGACGUGAAAUCCCUGGGCUCAACCCAGGAACUGCGUCCGAUACUGGAAGGCUUGAAUCCGGGAGAGGGAUGCGGAAUUCCAGGUGUAGCGGUGAAAUGCGUAGAUAUCUGGAGGAACACCGGUGGCGAAGGCGGCAUCCUGGACCGGUAUUGACGCUGAGGCGCGAAAGCCAGGGGAGCGAACGGG
rnacentral:rRNA from 1 species